rnacentral:rRNA from 1 species
CCUACGGGAGGCUGCAGUGAGGAAUAUUGGUCAAUGGACGAGAGUCUGAACCAGCCAAGUAGCGUGAAGGAUGACUGCCCUAUGGGUUGUAGACUUCUUUUAUAUGGGAAUAAAAUGUUCCACGUGUGGGAUUUUGUAUGUACCAUAUGAAUAAGGAUCGGCUAACUCCGUGCCAGCAGCCGCGGUAAUACGGAGGAUCCGAGCGUUAUCCGGAUUUAUUGGGUUUAAAGGGAGCGUAGGUUGUUUUUUAAGUCGGCGGUGAAAGUUUGUAGCUCAAACAUAAAAUUGCCGUUGAAACUGGAAGACUUGAGUGUGUUUGAGGUAGGCGGAAUUCGUGGUGUAGCGGUGAAAUGCUUAGAUAUCACGAAGAACCCCGAUUGCGAAGGCAGCUUACUAAACUGUGACUGACAUUGAUGCUCGAAAGUGUGGGUAUCAAACAGGAUUAGAUACCCUGGUAGUC